rnacentral:tRNA from 1 species
AUCGAGGCAUCUUUCAUUAAAGAGGUUGGGGUAUGCACACCCGGGAUGUUGCUCACGAUU